AGUGAACGCUGGCGGUAGGCCUAAUACAUGCAAGUCGAACGGCAGCACAGUAAGAGCUUGCUCUUACGGGUGGCGAGUGGCGGACGGGUGAGGAAUACAUCGGAAUCUACUUUUUCGUGGGGGAUAACGUAGGGAAACCUACGCUAAUACCGCAUACGACCUACGGGUGAAAGCAGGGGAUCUUCGGACCUUGCGCGAUUGAAUGAGCCGAUGUCGGAUUAGCUAGUUGGCGGGGUAAAGGCCCACCAAGGCGACGAUCCGUAGCUGGUCUGAGAGGAUGAUCAGCCACACUGGAACUGAGACACGGUCCAGACUCCUACGGGAGGCAGCAGUGGGGAAUAUUGGACAAUGGGCGCAAGCCUGAUCCAGCCAUACCGCGUGGGUGAAGAAGGCCUUCGGGUUGUAAAGCCCUUUUGUUGGGAAAGAAAAGCAGCAGGUUAAUACCCCGCUGUUCUGACGGUACCCAAAGAAUAAGCACCGGCUAACUUCGUG
rnacentral:rRNA from 1 species